GAUGAACGCUGGCGGCGUGCCUAAUACAUGCAAGUCGAGCGAAAAGACGAGGAGCUUGCCCCUUUGACGUUAGCGGCGGACGGGUGAGUAACACGUAGGUAACCUACCUAUAAGACUGGGAUAACUUCGGGAAACCGGAGCUAAUACCGGAUAAUAUUUCGAACCGCAUGGUUCGAUAGUGAAAGAUGGCUUUGCUAUCACUUAUAGCUGGACCUGCGCCGUUUUAGCUAGUUGGUAAGGUAACGGCUUAUCAAGGCAACGAUACGUAGCCGAACUGAGAGGGUGAUCGGCCGCACUAGAACUGGAACACGGUUCAGGGUCCUACGGGAGGCCGCAGUAGGGAAUCUUCCGCAAUAGGCGGAAACCUUGCGGAGUAACGGCGCGUGAGUUAUGAAAGUCUUCCGAUCGUAAAACUCUUUUAUGAGGGAAAAACCAACGUGGAAGGAAAUGAGCACGGCUUGACGGUAACUAAUCAAAAAGCCACGGCUAACUACGUG
rnacentral:rRNA from 1 species